GUUUAUGGCCAUAUCACCCUGAACAUGCCUGAUCUCCUUUGAUCUCAGAAGCUAAGCAGGGUCAGGCCUGGUUAGUACUUGGAUGGAGAUAGAACAUAUGUUCACACC
rnacentral:rRNA from 1 species